rnacentral:rRNA from 1 species
GACGAACGCUGGCGGCGUGCUUAACACAUGCAAGUCGAACGGAAAGGCGCGGCGCUUGCGGGUUGCUCGAGAGGCGAACGGGGGAGUAACACGUGAGUAACCUGCCCCUGACAGAGGGGUAAAUUCAGGGAAAACGGGCUCAUACCGGGGAGAAGAUCCUGCUGCAUGGGGGGGGUUGGAGAGAUACGGCGGUGGGGGCUGGACUAGCGGCUUAUCAGCUUGUUGGGGGGGUAGUGGCGUACCAAGGCUUUGACGGGUAGCCGGCCUGAGAGGGUGACCGGCCACAUUGGGACUGCGAUACGGCCCAGACUCCUACGGGCCGCAGCAGUCGGGAGUAUUGCAGAAUGGGCGGAAGUCUGAUGCAGCAGCCCCGCGUGCGUGAUGACGGCCUACGGGUUGUAAACCGCUUUCGCCUGUGCCGAAGCGUGAGUGACGGUAAUGGGUAAGGAAGCCCCGGCUAACUACGUG